UCGGGAAUUUUGGGCAAUGGGCGAAAGCCUGACCCAGCAACGCCGCGUGAAGGAUGAAGUAUUUCGGUAUGUAAACUUCGUAAGAAUAGGAAGAAUAAAUGACGGUACUAUUUGUAAGGUCCGGCUAACUACGUGCCAGCAGCCGCGGUAAUACGUAGGGACCAAGCGUUGUUCGGAUUUACUGGGCGUAAAGGGUGCGUAGGCGGUCAGAUGUGUUAGGUGUGAAAGCCUGGGGCUUAACUCCAGAAUUGCGCCUAAAACUAUCUGACUCGAGCCUCGGAGAGGCAAGCGGAAUUCCUAGUGUAGCAGUGAAAUGCGUAGAUAUUAGGAGGAACACCGAAGGCGAAGGCAGCUUGCUGGACGAGAUCUGACGCUGAAGCGCGAAAGCCAGGGGAGCAAACGGGAUUAGAUACCCUUGUAGUCCCUGAGCGGGCUGGCAAGGCGCAU
rnacentral:rRNA from 1 species